rnacentral:rRNA from 1 species
UACGUAGGGACCGAGCGUUGUCCGGAUUCAUUGGGCGUAAAGAGCUCGUAGGCGGCUUGGCAAGUCGGGUGUGAAAACUUCAGGCUCAACCUGGAGCGGCCACUCGAUACUGCCAUGGCUUGAGUCCGGUAGGGGACCACGGAAUUCCUGGUGUAGCGGUGAAAUGCGUAGAGAUCAGGAAGAACACCGGUGGCGAAGGCGCUCUGCUAGGCCGUAACUGACACUGAGGGACGAAAGCUAGGGGAGCGAAUGGG